AGGUACUGGCAAUAUAGUAGUGAACAAAACAGAAAACAAGUCUUGCCUGUGUGGAGCUUAUAUUAUUAAGGAUGGAGAGAGACAGCACAAACAUUAGCUGAUGGUCAUAUGUGGCGACUGAACACUUGAAAUGUGGUUGGUACAAUUCGAGAUGGUCUUUAAGUAAAAAAUACACACAAGACUUUGAAGACUUGGUGUGAAAAAAAGAAUAAGUCCUGCACGCCAGCCUAUUGGGGCCUCCUCCUCCCUCCCACCUGCGUGGGGUCAUCUUAGUCGUGCCUUGAAAAUUCAGACCAGGGUACCUACUGAUGUGGCACCUCUGCAACCCCAGGAAGUCGACACCUGAACGCAGCCCCACUGACACCAGGCCGGUCCCUUACCUGGGAUGUCGAGACCCGCCCUUGUGCUCCUUUUCUGGAAGUCUCUCUACCUUAGGACCGGUUGGUCUCCUUUUCCCCGUGGAGCUACCACCAGGAGCCUGAGUCUCACUCUGCUUCUCCCGUCUCCCAGUUCCUACUCCAGCUGUAGAUCCGGGCAUGGCUUCAGGAGAAAGUUCAUCUGUCCAUUCGCUACUGGACUUACCCCAUCUCACACCAUCAAAUGUGUUUCUGUCAUAUUUAAAAAUUUGUCUUUUGCCAUUAAACUCCAUUCUCCUGCCUUUGUGUUCUUCUUUG